UACGUAGGUGGCAAGCGUUAUCCGGAUUUAUUGGGCGUAAAGGGAACGCAGGCGGUCUUUUAAGUCUGAUGUGAAAGCCUUCGGCUUAACCGGAGUAGUGCAUUGGAAACUGGGAGACUUGAGUGCAGGAGAGGAGAAUGGAAUUCCUAGUGUAGCGGUGAAAUGCGUAGAGAUUAGGAAGAACACCAGUGGCGAAGGCGAUUCUCUGGACUGUAACUGACGCUGAGGCUCGAAAGCGUGGGGAGCAAACAGG
rnacentral:rRNA from 2 species